AUGAAGUGGAGCUUGCUCCACGGAUUAGUGGCGAACGGGUGAGGGAACACGUGAGAAACCUGCCUCGGAUUUUGGGAUAACAAAUGGAAACGUUUGCUAAUACCAAAUAACGUCGGAGAGUCACAUGACUUUUCUGACGAAAGGGAAUUCCGAUUCGAGAGGGGUCUCGCGGCCUAUCAGCUUGUUGGCGGGGUAAUGGCCCACCAAGGCAACGACGGGGUAGCUGGUCUGAGAGGAUGGUCAGCCACACUGGGGACUGAGACACGGCCCAGACUCC
rnacentral:rRNA from 1 species